UCGUUGGGCAGCUACCAUGCAGUCGAGCGGUAGAGAGAAGCUUGCUUCUCUUGAGAGCGGCGGACGGGUGAGUAAUGCCUAGGAAUCUGCCUGGUAGUGGGGGAUAACGUUCGGAAACGGACGCUAAUACCGCAUACGUCCUACGGGAGAAAGCAGGGGACCUUCGGGCCUUGCGCUAUCAGAUGAGCCUAGGUCGGAUUAGCUAGUUGGUGGGGUAAUGGCUCACCAAGGCGACGAUCCGUAACUGGUCUGAGAGGAUGAUCAGUCACACUGGAACUGAGACACGGUCCAGACUCCUACGGGAGGCAGCAGUGGGGAAUAUUGGACAAUGGGCGAAAGCCUGAUCCAGCCAUGCCGCGUGUGUGAAGAAGGUCUUCGGAUUGUAAAGCACUUUAAGUUGGGAGGAAGGGUUGUAGAUUAAUACUCUGCAAUUUUGACGUUACCGACAGAAUAAGCACCGGCUAACUCUGUGCCAGCAGCCGCGGUAAUACAGAGGGUGCAAGCGUUAAUCGGAAUUACUGGGCGUAAAGCGCGCGUAGGUGGUUAGUUAAGUUGGAUGUGAAAUCCCCGGGCUCAACCUGGGAACUGCAUUCAAAACUGACUGACUAGAGUAUGGUAGAGGGUGGUGGAAUUUCCUGUGUAGCGGUGAAAUGCGUAGAUAUAGGAAGGAACACCAGUGGCGAAGGCGACCACCUGGACUGAUACUGACACUGAGGUGCGAAAGCGUGGGGAGCAAACAGGAUUAGAUACCCUGGUAGUCCACGCCGUAAACGAUGUCAACUAGCCGUUGGGAGCCUUGAGCUCUUAGUGGCGCAGCUAACGCAUUAAGUUGACCGCCUGGGGAGUACGGCCGCAAGGUUAAACUCAAAUGAAUUGACGGGGGCCCGCACAAGCGGUGGAGCAUGUGGUUUAUUUCGAAGCAACGCGAAGAACCUUACCAGGCCUUGACAUCCAAUGAACUUUCUAGAGAUAGAUUGGUGCCUUCGGAACAUUGAGACAAGUGCUGCAUGGCUGUCGUCAGCUCGUGUCGUGAGAUGUUGGGUUAAAUCCCGUAACGAGCGCAACCCUUGUCCUUAGUUACCAGCACGUAAUGGUGGGGCACUCCUAAGGAGACUGCCGGUGACAAACCGAGAAAGGGGGGAUGACGUCAGACAUCAUGCCCCUCACGGCUGGCUACAUACGUGCUACAAUGGUUCGUACCAGA
rnacentral:rRNA from 1 species